CGCUUGGUUUCGCUUGGAGUGGAGGAAAAGGGAAGGAAGAGCUGCGCACUCCGCUCCAGAUAGAAAAAGAUCAGCGCCGUGCUCUCCAUCUCCAGUCUCCUCUCCACUGCCCCGCCCCGUCUCGGUCUCACUCCGCUGCAACCUGCCAACAAAAUCUCCGGAGCCCAAACAGCGGACGGAAUCCCUCUUCCCUCCCCUUCGUCGCCCGCCCCUCUCCGCGCGCGCCACCAUGUCGGCGUGGGCCGACGCGGCGCUGCUCCUCGCCUCCCCGUCCCCCUCAUGCUCCCCCCUCGCCAGGCCGCGCUACGGGCGCCUCCGCAAGGGCUUUCCUUGCACCACUCGUUCUAAAGCUGGAUUCCAAAUCAAUCAUUACCAAGCAAGGAGCUUAAAGGUUAAAGCAAAGAUGGAUUCUGGUGAUGGCGAGACACAACUCGCUCCAGUUAAAUUCGAAACCCCAAGUGGUCAACUUCUGGCGCAGAUGCUGCAAUCGCAGCCUCACCUAAUCCCUGUAACAGUUGAUCAACAACUUGAAAACCUGACAGCAGAGAAAAUUGCCCAAAAGGAAAAGGCUGCAAAAGUUCCCGAGGACCUCCUUUACAAGCGAAUUGCAGAAGUCAAAGAGAAGGAAAGACAGAAUACCCUGGAAGAGAUCAUCUACUGCUGGAUUUUGUUCAAGUUCAUGGAAAAUGACGUACAAAUGACACCUGCAUUAUCAUCAUCAGGUGGCCCUGUAGGCGACGUCUCCUCGUUGCCUAACCAGGAGUAUAAGCUGCAAAACAUACACUCUCAAGACGCUCUUGAGAUGAUACAGAACCAUCUCAACCUUAUCAUGGGGGAGCAGGCAGCAGCGCCACUAGAUACCGUUGUUGAGAUCAGCAACUUAAAUCUCGGGAAGCUCUACGCAGCAUCCAUCAUGUAUGGUUACUUCCUCAAGAGGGUGGACGAGCGAUUCCAACUCGAGAAAACCAUGAAGACGCUCCCACCAAGCCUCAACGAAAAACUAUUUACGGAGAGAGACAUUAAGCCUAAUCCAUUCAUGGACAUGGAGUCCCUGGUACGGAUGACGCCUGAUGGGGAGAUGGUUGAUGUGGAGGAGGACGAGGAAACAAACCCAAACAAGCUGAGGUCCUACGUCUCGCGGCUGGACGCCGAUACGUUGCAACGGUACGCUACCAUCAGGUCCAAGGAAUCGGUCUCGCUGAUAGAGAAGCAAACGCAGGCUCUGUUUGGUCGGCCGGAUAUCAAAGUGCUGGAUGAUGGCUCUGUUAACGCUAAAGAUGGUAAAACUUUGACGCUUACGUUUACAGAGCUCACGCACCUUGUCCUGGAGGCGGCUGGUUUCGGGGCCUUUUUGUGGGAGGCUGAGAGCCAUGUAGAAUCCAAAUACCAUUUUGUUAACAGUUGAUUGUGCGUUUUGUUAAUCUGGAAAUGGGUUUCUGUGCAUUUGAUAGGGUAGGAUCCAGUCCAUCUCUGGUAUGCCUUUUCAGUGUAGCUGAUGCUCUUGCUCUUGUUUGCUCUCUAUCAGCAGCAGCCAAGGGGCACGAAUCAAACCGUCACUGUCCAUGGCUGAUGGCUCCAUGGCCCCUCACAGUCACAGAUCAGAUUGUAAUUUAACAGAGGAAUGGAAAAUGUUUCUUCUUAUGAUAUACUCCUCCGUCCCAAAUUACUUGUUUUAGAUAUGCCCCUCCUAUCCAUAUUACAUCCGUAUCCAGACAAAUGUAAGACAAAUAAUAUGGAUCGGAGGGAGUAGUAUUAUUCUCUUUACAACAGUUGUAUAUACUGCUAGUAAAAAAGCC
rnacentral:rRNA from 1 species